UAUGGUGAAUCACAGGCUGUGAUUUGAAAAGGGAAUCCGGUGAAAGGCCGGAACUGUGCCCGCAGCUGUAAAUUCCGCAAUGGUCCCGUUUUCUUUGCCAUUGUCCGAAAGGAUGAGAAGGCCCGGGGCUGGGAUGAGUCAGAAGACCUGCCAUAGUC
rnacentral:ncRNA from 1 species